GACGAACGCUGGCGGCGUGCUUAACACAUGCAAGUCGAACGGAGAGGCCCUGCUUUUGUGGGGUGCUCGAGUGGCGAACGGGUGAGUAACACGUGAGUAACCUGCCCUUGACUUUGGGAUAACUUCAGGAAACUGGGGCUAAUACCGGAUAGGAGCUCCUGCUGCAUGGUGGGGGUUGGAAAGUUUCGGCGGUUGGGGAUGGACUCGCGGCUUAUCAGCUUGUUGGUGGGGUAGUGGCUUACCAAGGCUUUGACGGGUAGCCGGCCUGAGAGGGUGACCGGCCACAUUGGGACUGAGAUACGGCCCAGACUCCUACGGGAGGCAGCAGUGGGGGAAUAUUGCACAAUGGGCGGAAGCCUGAUGCAGCAACGCCGCGUGCGGGAUGACGGCCUUCGGGUUGUAAACCGCUUUCGCCUGUGACGAAGCGUGAGUGACGGUAAUGGGUAAAGAAGCACCGGCUAACUACGUG
rnacentral:rRNA from 1 species